UGUAUACGUUCGUACAUAAGAACGUAUGUAUGAACGUACGUACGUAUGUUUAUAUGUGAGUACGUAUGUAUACAUGUAGUAUAUAUAAAAAUAUAUUUAUCUUUCCGUGCGCGUUUGUUCAGCUAAAGGACCCGCAACUUCCAAACGAACAUUAGUGAGCAAAUAUGAAUUCAAAAUUCAAAGAAGUUAUCAUUAUCUUAAAAAAAAAAAAAAACUAUGAUAAAGUGGCUUAACAAACAUAUCCAUUUCGAAUUUAUAUUUGCUCACUAAUAUUCGUUUGGAAGUCGCGGGGCCUUCAGCUGAAAAAACGCGCACGGAAAGAUCAUACGCGGUGCCAGCAUUGUUGUGAAAAUCAGAGUCGAAAAAUCCUCUCAGAAAACCACCAAUCACUGGAAAAAUAAUAAGCGCAACACAAAUCGGGCUACGACCAAAGAAAUUAACUUACCAUCUCGGCAGAAAGCCGCAGAAUGAAGAAAUAGAUAUCUCUGGAUCAACUGAUUUCAAAUUUGGAGAGUUUGCCACUCUUAAUUCUCAUCAGCAGGUCUCACUAUAUACCUAGGAUUAAAAACUUUGCUCGAUUCGUUGUGCUUGGUAACCGUUGAAAAACUAGCACCAAAUUGAAACUUGGACUUGUUAUGAAAGGCAUUUUAAAUUGUUAGAACAAUUCCACCAAAAAUGCCUUCAUCGCAUCACCUAAAUUAAAGCAAUGAUUUUGAGGUAUCAAUUGAGAUGGUGUGGCCAUAUUGUUCGAAUAGUAGAUUAACGCAUGCCGAAGCAACUGUUUUAUGGUGAGCUUGCAGAGGGGAAACGCUAUCGAUGUAAACCUAAAAGAAAGUUUAAGGACGGCAUAAGGACUACUAUGAAGUAACUUGGAAUGGUUCCAGAAGAUAUAGAAACUCUCCUUUAUUUGAAUUCUUAAAAACAAAAUCCUGUGUAAGACAGAUCGGUAUUGUCAAUAAAUGCACAAAAACCGUUUUAAGGG